ensembl:lncRNA
UUAUCCAAAGGUUUAAGGCUGGGGGGGGGGAAUCAACAGCCCCCCCCCACAAUGGGAGCAAACGGAGAGUGAAGGAUGAGGGAGGGUCCAUUCAUGGCGGGGGAUGAAUGGGGGGGUCUCAUUCAUCUCAAGUUGGGUCCCAUUCAUCUCGUUUUGGGUCCCAUUCAUCUCAAUCUGGGUCUCAUUCAUCUCAUUUGGGGCCUAUUUUGGGUCUUAUUUGUCCCAUUUUGGGUCUAAUUUGUCUCAGUUUGGCCCUUUUUGGGUCUUAUUUGUCUGAUUUUGGGUCUUAUUUGUCCCAUUUUGGACCAUUUUUAGUUUUAUUAGUCUCAUUUUGGGUCUCAUUCAUCUCAUUUUGGGUCACAUUUGUCCCAUUCAGGCCCAUUUUGGGUCUCAAUUUUGGCCCUUUUUGGGUCUAAUUUGUCUCAUUUUGGGUCUAAUUUGUCCCAUUUUGGGUCUCAUUUGUCCCAUUUGGGGCCCCUUUUGGGUUUAUUUGUCCCAUUUUGGCCAUUUUGGGUCACAUUCAUCUCAUUUUGGGUCUCAUUUGUUUCAUUUUGGGCCUUUUUGGGUCUUAUUUGUCCCAUUUUGGGACCAUUUUAGGUCUCAUUCAUCUCAUUUUGGGUCAUUUUGAGUCUAAUUCAUCUCAUUUUGGGUCUCAUUUGUCUCAUUUUGACCCUUUUGGGGUUUAUUUGUCUGAUUUUGGGUCUCAUUUUGGCCAUUUUUGGGUCUCAUUUGUCCCAUUUGGGCCAUUUUUGGGUUUAUUUAACCCAUUUUGGCCAUUUUUGGGUCUAAUUCAUCUCAUUUUGGGUCUCAUUUGUCCUAUUUUGGGUCUCAUUCAUCUCAUUUUGGGUCUCAUUCAUCUCAUUUUGGGUCAUUUUGGGUCUCAUUCGUCUCAUUUUGGGUCUAAUUUGUCCCAUUUUGGGCCCUUUUUGGGUCCCAUUUUGCCCAUUUCUGGUCUCAUUUCUGGCCCUUUUUGCCCUUUUUGCCCUUUGGGGGAUAAAUUGAGGGAGCAGGGGGGUGGGUCUCAUCCCAUUUUGGGUCUAAUUUGUCCCAUUUUGGGUCUCAUUCAUCUCAUUUUGGGUCAUUUUGGGUCUCAUUCAUCUCAUUUUGGGUCUCAAUUGUCCAAUUUUGAGUCUCAUUCAUCUCAUUUUGGGUCUCAUUUGUCCCAUUUUGGGUCUCAUUCAUCUCAUUUUGGGUCUCAUUCAUCUCAUUUUGGGUCUCACUCAUCUCAUUUUGGGUCAUUUUGGGUCUCAUUAAUCUCAUUUUGGGUCUCAUUCAUCUCAUUUUGGGUCUCAUUAAUCUCAUUUUGGGACUCAUUUAUCUCAUUUUAUCCCACUUUGGGUCUAAUUUGUCCCAUUUUGGGCCCCAUUUGUCCCAUUUCUGGUCUCAUUUCUGGCCCUUUUUCUUUGGGGGGGGCCGUUUGGGGGCUCCAACCACCGUCAGCUUUUUGGGGAGGGCGGCCGCCGCCUUCAUGGCCACCUCGUGCUCAAUGCGCAGCCGGAUCCCGACCUCCAGGCUCUGAAAUGGGGGGGGGGGCACAAAAAGACCCCCAUUAACACAUGGGAGAUAUUAAAUGGGGGGGGGGGCACAACAAGACCCCCAUUAACACAUGGGAGAUAUUAAAUGGGGGGGGGCACAACAAGACCCCCAUUAACCCAUGGGUGAAAUCAAGGGGGGGGGGCACAACAAGACCCCCAUUAACACAUGGGUGACAUCAAUGGGGGGGGCACAACAAGACCCCCAUUAACACAUGGGUGAAAUCAAUGGGGGGGGGCACAACAAGACCCCCAUUAACACAUGGGUGACAUCAAUGGGGGGGGGCACAACAAGACCCCCAUUAACCCAUGGAUGACAUUAAAUGGGGGGGGGGGCACAACAAGACCCCCAUUAACACAUGGGAGAUAUUAAAUGGGGGGGGGGCACAACAAGACCCCCAUUAACCCAUGGGAGAUAUUAAAUGGGGGGGGGCACAACAAGACCC